rnacentral:rRNA from 1 species
AGUGAACGCUGGCGGUAGGCCUAACACAUGCAAGUCGAACGGCAGCACAGUAAGAGCUUGCUCUUACGGGUGGCGAGUGGCGGACGGGUGAGGAAUACAUCGGAAUCUACUUUUUCGUGGGGGAUAACGUAGGGAAACUUACGCUAAUACCGCAUACGACCUACGGGUGAAAGCAGGGGAUCUUCGGACCUUGCGCGAUUGAAUGAGCCGAUGUCGGAUUAGCUAGUUGGCGGGGUAAAGGCCCACCAAGGCGACGAUCCGUAGCUGGUCUGAGAGGAUGAUCAGCCACACUGGAACUGAGACACGGUCCAGACUCCUACGGGAGGCAGCAGUGGGGUAUAUUGGACAAUGGGCGCAAGCCUGAUCCAGCCAUACCGCGUGGGUGAAGAAGGCCUUCGGGUUGUAAAGCCCUUUUGUUGGGAAAGAAAAGCAGCAGGUUAAGACCCCGCUGUUCUGACGGUACCCAAAGAAUAAGCACCGGCUAACUUCGU